GGACCCAUUAAAGCAUAUGUUUGGAUUUUCUUUUUAGGUAUUUUGUCUUGAAUUCCUAAAAUCCGCGGGGGGGGUUAUGUGUCUAUAGAGAGGUGAUGAUGAUCUCUCCACUCAGGGGGAUGUUGAUGUGUCUAUAGAGAGGUGAUUGGUGAUCUCUCCACUCAGGGGGAUGUUGAUGUGUCGAUAGAGAGGUGAUUGGUGAUCUCUCCACUCAGGGGGAUGUUGAUGUGUCUAUAGAGAGGUGAUGGGUGAUCUCUCCACUCAGGGGGAUGUUGAUGUGUCUAUAGAGAGGUGAUUGAUGAUCCACUCAGGGGGAUGUUGAUGUGUCUAUAGAGAGGUGAUUGAUGAUCUAUCCACUCAGGGGGAUGUUGAUGUGUCUAUAGAGAGGUGAUGGGUGAUCUCUCCACAGGGGGAUGUUGAUGUGUCUAUAGAGAGGUGAUUGAUGAUCUCUCCACAGGGGGAGUCGGGCCCGGUGGGCCCCAGUGGACCGGUGGGAGAGGCGGGAGUGGGCAUCACAGGGCCCAAGGGCGAGAGGGGACCCCGGGGGCCAGUCGGCCCCACAGGAGUGGCGGGGGAAGGUCAACCCGGACCCCAGGGGCUGCCAGGGUUACCAGGGCAACAAGGAGAUGUAGGACCUGAAGGCAAUGGGUUGCCAGGGACCAAGGGUAACCGAGGACCAGCGGGGGUCCCGGGCCCUUCAGGACCCCCUGGAGUCGGCCUUGUGGGGCAGAAGGUCUGUGUGUGUGUGUGUGUGUGUGUGUGUGUGUGUGUGUGUGUGUGUGUGUGUGUGUGUGUGUGUGUGUGUGUGUGUGUGUGUGUGUGUGUGUGUGUGUGUGUGUGUGUCAUGCACUAGACAUGUGAUAAACCUCAUGCACUAGAC
rnacentral:lncRNA from 1 species